rnacentral:rRNA from 1 species
UCACCCUGAGACCGAUAGCAAACAAGUACGGUGACGGAAGAUUGAAAAGAACUUUGAAGAGAGAGUUCAAUAGUACGUGAAACUGUGUGGUGGUAAACGGAGGGGUUCUCGAAGUUUCUGUGGGGGACUCAGCCUUGAGGUAGGGCGGUCUGGUUGUAUCCAAUCAGCAAUGAUGGUGCGGCUUUUCCAGCUUUGCCUACGGGUGCAUUUCCCCUGCAGUUUACGACAGGAACCGUUACGAUCCAACCUAAGGCUCUGGGUGAAGUUACAGUCCUAGAUUGUAGCCCUGGAUGUUCUGGCUUGGAGUGUGACGGGUAGUUGAGGAGACUUGUAUAGCAAGCAGUGCUCUGCUGCGGUUUCCAUCUCUCUGUCGAGUAGGUCGGUGGCCCCUCCGACCCGUCUUGAAACACGGACCAAGGAGUCUAACAUGUAUGCGAGCCAUUGAGUUGACUAAACUUAGAGGCGUAGUGAAAGCAAAGAGUAGCUUGUCUGCUCGAGGGAAGAUCCGCAAGGCGCAUUCCCGUGACUUCCAAUCGACCUCGCUUCGUUGGGAGUACACAGAGCAUAAAUGUUGGGACCCGAAAGAUGGUGAACUAUGCAUGGCCAGGAUGAAGUCAGGGGAAACCCUGAUGGAAGUCCGUAGCGAUUCUGACGUGCAAAUCGAUCGUCGGAGCUGUGUAUAGGGGCGAAAGACUAAUCGAACCAUCUAGUAGCUGGUUCCUGCCGAAGUUUCCCUCAGGAUAGCUGGUGCUCAUUUACGAGUUUCAUCCGGUAAAGCGAAUGAUUAGAAGUAUUGGGGGCGAAAUGCCCUCAACUUAUUCUCAAACUUUAAAUGGGUGAGAAGUGCGUCUUGCUUGAGUGAAGUCGUACACUGAAUCGGAGUGCCUAGUGGGCCAUUUUUGGUAAGCAGAACUGGCGCUGUGGGAUGAACCAAACGCAGAGUUAAAGUGCCAAAGUGGAAGCUCAUCAGAUCCCACGAAAGGUGUUGGUUGCUUAAAACAGCAGGACGGUGGCCAUGGAAGUCGGAAUCCGCUAAGGAGUGUGUAACAACUCACCUGCCGAAGCAACUAGCCCUGAAAAUGGAUGGCGCUAAAGCUUCCCACUUAUACUCUGCCGUUCAGUUAGAGCUGGCCCUUGAGGCCCUGACAAUUGAACGAGUAGGCAGGUCGCUCUGGUAGCGCAGAAGGCUCUGGGUGUGAACCUGGCUGGAGCUGCCAGAGGUGCAGAUCUUGGUGGUAGUAGCAAAUACUCCAGAGAGGCCCUGGAGGACCGAUGUGGAGAAGGGUUUCGUGUGAACAGCUGUUGGACACGAGUCAGUCGAUCCUAAGGCUUAGGGGAAACCCUAUAAAAUUGUGCGGUGUUUUCAGUUUGAUUAGAACCGCAACUUUGGCCGAAAGGGAAUGAGGUCCUUAUUCCUCAACCUGAUAGCGGAACCGCGGCCCUCGUACCGACACGGCAACGUGAAAAGAGCCUGAGACGUCCACCCGAGCUCUGGGAAGAGUUGUCUUUUCUGCAUAAGCCGCUGAGGCCCUGGAAUUCCUUCGUGGAGAGAAUGGGUUUUGGUCUAGGCAAAGAGCGCAGCAGUUCUUGCUGUGUCCAUGAGUGACGGGCGGAACCUUGAAAAUCAGGCUGAGGGUUACGGCGGAGUCGCAUCAGCUCGUACCCAUAUCCGCAGCAGGUCUCCUAGGUGAAUAGCCUCUGGUCGAUAGAAUAAUGUAGGUAAGGGAAGUCGGCAAAUUGGAUCCGUAACUUCGGGAUAAGGAUUGGCUCUGAGGGUCGGGGUGUUUGGGCUCUGUGCUGGAAGCAGGUUGGUCUAUCGGCAGGCCUGACUGAACUUCGCGGUGAAGUCGGUCCUGUUUCACAGACUCCUGUGGAUAGCCAUUGCUUUGCAGGCCUGGGCAACCGGUGUCCUGUUCAAACAUCAAUCAACGACUAACUCAGAACUGGCACGGACUAGGGGAAUCCGACUGUCUAAUUAAAACAAAGCAUUGCGAUGGUCAGAGAGUGAUGUUGACGCAAUGUGAUUUCUGCCCAGUGCUCUGAAUGUCAAAGUGAAGAGAUUCGUCCAAGCGCGGGUAAACGGCGGGAGUAACUAUGACUCUCUUAAGGUAGCCAAAUGCCUCGUCAUCUAAUUAGUGACGCGCAUGAAUGGAUUAACGAGAUUCCCACUGUCCCUAUCUACUAUCUAGCGAAACC